AGUAUGCCCUGAAGCAGGCCCCAAAGGUCAGGGUCAUUUCACCUUUCCCCCCUUCUAGACCUUUGUCCUCCCAGCUGCUUAUUAUUGUUGGUGUUUUGGUGAGGUUCAAGUUAUGAAAUCAUUUCUGUGGUACAAUGCUGAAGUGUGCAUAGAGGACUCGUGGAGUAGUAAGUGAAAUGAGACAGAGGCGUAACAAGGAACUGACAUCAAGAAAAAUAGAGCAUACGCAGGAUGAUAACUGAUUAUUACAGUUCAUCCCCAGUUUGGACUAAGAUGUUGAGUGGACACCUGGCCAGCUGUCUGGAGGAGAUAAACCAACCCAUUUAGCAGCCCUUGCAUUACUCUUUGCACUAGAGCUGAAGCCUGAAAUUCUUUACUUUUUUUGUAAUAAGAUUCAGAGGCCGGCGCACUCACAGGAGAGUCAACACUGCAACAGUUCCUCCAAACUUGCUGUCACUUGACUGUUAGUCCAUAAAAUGUAUUAUUACAGCAUGUUGAAUAAUGCUGAGCUGGUUGAAAAAUGGCGAGGAUUUUGCCUGGAUAUGAGGAAAAUACCGUCUGAGAGCAGAGUGCACAGUCAGGAAAAGGCAGGUUGUACAGAGAGUCAUUUAGGUCAGAUUACUCCGUAUGAUGCAAGCACUGCCAUCUCGUGGAUAAUCUAAGGAUGUGGAGAUUUCUGAGUUAUUUAUUUAAUAAAUGUAAAACUUUCUAAACUGAUAUGAAAAUUUCUAAUUGUAGUUUUUAAUAAUGUAAAAAUUUCCAAAAUGAUGCUUGCAGGAAGUAAAUUUUAGUACUGUUACAUUCAAGGAACACAUAUGAACAGAACUUAUUUUCUGAGACUAGAGGAUCUGUGCUAGUUCUUUAGUUGACUGUGUGUUUUUAUCAUGUUAUAAAGCUUCGUUUCUUCUUCCUCAUGUUGCUUUUUGUAUGCAAAGGAACAUGUUUGCUGCCUAUGGCAUUUAAAAGUAACAAAAAUGAAUCUUAAAUCUCUCAUGCUGGAGCACCAUUCUUUCCUCUAGUAGUGCAAAGAAUGGGUGAAGGGGGGAGGAAUGGGAGGAAAAACAAGAACACAGUGUCUUCAUGAUUCCUUUUAUAACAGAUUGCUUGACUACUGUUUCAUUCUAUUUCCAUCACUGAGGAGUACUUUGAGCUAUUGCUGAUGUGCCUGGUAUCAGUCCUGUUGUGAACUAGACUGGUUCACAGCAAAUUAUUGGAUAUUCUCUAACUGGGACGUAGGAAGUGACUAAUCACUGUUGUAGGCAUCCGAAGCUCACAAAUUUCUGUUAAACAGCUGCACAGCUCUUGCUAGCUGUGCCUCAGUCUACGUGCUUCUCUGUUCUGUGCAAGUCUGCUGGUCAUGCUCAUUCCUCCAAAAAGAGGCACGUGAAAAGGAUGUUUGGUUAUUUACACAUCAACAUAGCUUUCUAAACCUUAUUAAUGAGGACGUAUCUCUUUGUACAACUCAGAAAAACAGCUCUUGGAAGAUGUCAAGUGACUUUCUCUUGCUAUAAUACUGUGCAGUUAUGCUGUGAAUAAUGAGCUGAAAUAGGUAGUUUCCAAACAUAUGAUGUACAGUAUCUACAGAGUUUACUUUUAGAGCAGCCUAGACAUAAGAAAGGAAGUAGAAAGGACAUCACCUUAAGAGAAAAGGAUAAGUAUAGCAAUAUCAUGUAACAUAGCUCCUGGAGCUAGAAAUCAAUCAUAUUACCUUUCUCCCAGCCCCUUUUCAUGUUCACAGUUUUACAUACAGUUAACUAUUUACAAUGGAAACAGACCAACAAGAAAAUAAAACCUGUGAGUUGAUCUUUAUUUAGAAAUCAUAUCUCAUACAGCAAGGUAGUUGAAGAACUGAAUGAAAGUAGUGGUUAAGCAUUGUUACAAAGAAGUAGUUACCAAUUUGCACCACUGAGGAGAAGGCUACAUGUCAAGGUGAAGCUUUUUGAGAGUACUGUGGUUUCUAGUCAUUACAGUAGAGCUAUUUUACAAGUUCAAACUGUUAAGAGUGUGUUGGUUUUGCAGUAUUUUUAUGAAUAAUGUAUACCCGAAUAGAAUAAUGAAUGUGAAGAAUGGGAACCAUAAACUUCAGACAUCUUAAGCACUGAUACUUUACUGCAGGUGUCGAGUAUUUCACUGUUGCUGUUGAAUGUGUCACAAUGCUUUGUUAGAACUGUGACAGGAAAAUAGAACAAAAACCUGAGGUAAACUAAAUUGUAGUUUUGGAAAAGAAUAAGGUAGAAAAUGGAAGCAAAGGAUAUCCUACCUCCCAGAACUUGGAGCAUCUGGGAUGAUAUAAGCCUGUAACUAAACAAUGUGCAAGUAUUUUAUUGAAUUAAUAACAGAUUGGUAUUGUUACUUAUUCCUGUGUCUUUAAUGGAAAGUGAAU
rnacentral:lncRNA from 7 species